CUUGUUUCGUGGUGUCUGUGUUUGACCCAUAUCUCAGGAUCUGACUGACAGCAGUAAGGGUCAGCAAUGCCAUGAGGAGAGGCUGUUCUACCUUUAAAGACAUCACCAACUUCAAGCUUCUGUGUACAGAAUCUGUCUGCAUUGACAAGAAAGGGGUCUGUAGCUGCAAAUGGAGUACCAAAGAAGAUGAAAACAAAUAAUUUGCGAGUGGCUUAAGGCUAAGGGAAAUAUUCUGCAAUGUUGGCAACAAUACCAAACAGUGAAAAAAAGAGUUUACCUUGGCAUCCCAGUUACAGUCAUCAGCCAAGGAAAGCAGCAGAGCAUAUGAGCAGCACAAGCACUGCAAGGGUUCAGCCCACAUGCAGAGAAUAAUAUGCGUUUUCAAAUUAGGAAGACUUGGACAGUCCUUUCUUGCUGACUAAAACUGG
rnacentral:lncRNA from 1 species